UGGUUAGAGGGUAAAUGAG
rnacentral:snRNA from 1 species